rnacentral:rRNA from 1 species
CCUACGGGUGGCAGCAGUGGGGAAUAUUGGGCAAUGGACGCAAGCCUGACCCAGCGACGCCGCGUGAAGGAAGAAGGCCCUCGGGUUGUAAACUUCUUUUAUUCGGGACGAAACAAAUGACGGUACCGAAUGAAUAAGCCACGGCUAACUACGUGCCAGCAGCCGCGGUAAUACGUAGGUGGCAAGCGUUAUCCGGAUUUACUGGGUGUAAAGGGCAUGUAGGCGGGAGAGCAAGUCAGACGUGAAAUUCCAGGGCUCAACCCUGGAACUGCGUUUGAAACUGUUGGUCUUGAGUAUCGGAGAGGCAGGCGGAAUUCCUAGUGUAGCGGUGAAAUGCGUAGAUAUUAGGAGGAACACCAGUGGCGAAGGCGGCCUGCUGGACGACAACUGACGGUGAGGCGCGAAAGCGUGGGGAGCAAACAGGAUUAGAUACCCUAGUAGUC